GACGAACGCUGGCGGCGUGCCUAAUACAUGCAAGUAGAACGCACAGUUUAUACCGUAGCUUGCUACACCAUAGACUGUGAGUUGCGAACGGGUGAGUAACGCAUAGGUAACCUGCCUGGUAGCGGGGGAUAACUAUUGGAAACGAUAGCUAAUACCGCAUAAUAUUAAUUAUUGCAUGAUAAUUAAUUGAAAGGUGCAAUUGCACCACUACCAGAUGGACCUGCGUUGUAUUAGCUAGUAGGUGAGGUAACGGCUCACCUAGGCGACGAUACAUAGCCGACCUGAGAGGGUGGUCGGCCACACUGGGACUGAGACACGGCCCAGACUCCUACGGGAGGCAGCAGUAGGGAAUCUUCGGCAAUGGACGAAAGUCUGACCGAGCAACGCCGCGUGAGUGAAGAAGGUUGUCGGAUCGGAAAGCUCUGUUGUAAGAGAAGAACGGGUGUGAGAGUGGAAAGUUCACACUGUGACGGUAUCUGACCAGAAAGGGACGGCUAACUACGUG
rnacentral:rRNA from 1 species